rnacentral:misc_RNA from 1 species
UUGCUUUUCAUUUCGUUUUUGUGUUGUCAGGCUUCAGAUUCUCCUUGUAGAGUAAAAACAGUUACGGCCGGCGGCGGGCAGGUCCAAGCCUACCUCUUCCGCCGAAGUUAAGGUUCGUCGGGGCGGCAAGCAGCCGGCGCGGGCCGUGCCAGACAUCCACCCUCUCGGGCAAACCAUCCGUCACAGGGCCACACACACAAACCACCCACCGUUCCUCCCCACACGUGCACAUGACAAUAGGUCGGGUAUCCCCAGCGUCGCGCCAGGAAUCCUCAGUAAUGAUCCUUCCGCAGGUUCACCUACGGAAA